rnacentral:rRNA from 1 species
UAGACCUCAAAUCAAGUAGGA